UACGAAGGGGGCUAGCGUUGCUCGGAAUUACUGGGCGUAAAGCGCACGUAGGCGGUCUUUUAAGUCGGGGGUGAAAUCCUGGAGCUCAACUCCAGAACUGCCUUCGAUACUGGAAGACUUGAGUCCGGGAGAGGUGAGUGGAACUGCGAGUGUAGAGGUGAAAUUCGUAGAUACUCGCAAGAACACCAGUGGCGAAGGCGGCUCACUGGCCCGGUACUGACGCUGAGGUGCGAAAGCGUGGGGAGCAAACAGG
rnacentral:rRNA from 1 species